rnacentral:rRNA from 1 species
UACGUAGGUGGCAAGCGUUGUCCGGAUUUAUUGGGUUUAAAGGGUGCGUAGGUGGGUAGGUAAGUCAGUGGUGAAAUCUCUAAGCUUAACUUAGAAACUGCCGUUGAUACUAUUUAUCUUGAAUAUAGUGGAGGUGAGCGGAAUAUGUCAUGUAGCGGUGAAAUGCUUAGAUAUGACAUAGAACACCCAUUGCGAAGGCAGCUCGCUACACUAUUAUUGACACUGAGGCACGAAAGCGUGGGGAUCAAACAGG